GGGCGCUAUACAUGCAAGUCGAACGGAACCUUCGGGUUUUAGUGGCGAACGGGUGAGUAACACGUAAGCAACCUGCCUUUAAGACGUGGAUAACAAUUGGAAACAGUUGCUAAGACAGGAUAGGAAAUUAAGAGGCAUCUUUUAAUUUUUAAAAGACCUUUUUCGAAAGGUAUACUUAAAGAGGGGCUUGCGCCACAUUAGUUAGUUGGUAAGGUAAAGGCUUACCAAGACGAUGAUGUGUAGCUGGACUGAGAGGUCGAACAGCCACAUUGGGACUGAGACACGGCCCAAACUCCUACGGGAGGCAGCAGUAAGGAAUUUUUGGCAAUGGAGGAAACUCUGACCGAGCGACGUCGCGUGAACAAUGAAGUACUUCGGUAUGUAAAGUUCUUUUAUUGAAAAAGAAAAAAUAGUGGAAAAACUAUCUUGACAUUAUUCAAUGAAUAAGCCCCGGCUAAUUAUGUGCCAGCAGCCGCGGUAAUACAUAAGGGGCGAGCGUUAUCCGGAAUUAUUGGGCGUAAAGGGUGCGUAGGCGGUUUGAUAAGUCUAUAGUUUAAAUGCAGUGCUUAACGCUGUAGCGCUAUAGAAACUGUCUGACUAGAGUUAGAUAGAGGCAAGCGGAAUUCCAUGUGUAGCGGUAAAAUGCGUAAAUAUAUGGAGGAACACCAGAGGCGUAGGCGGCUUGCUGGGUCUUAACUGACGCUGAGGCACGAAAGCGUGGGGAGCAAACAGGAUUAGAUACCCUGGUAGUCCACGCCGUAAACGAUGAGUACUAAGUGUCGGGUUUCGGCUCGGUACUGAAGUUAACACAUUAAGUACUCCGCCUGAGUAGUACGUACGCAAGUAUGAAACUUAAAGGAAUUGACGGGACCCCGCACAAGCGGUGGAUCAUGUUGUUUAAUUCGAAGAUACACGAAAAACCUUACCAGGUCUUGACAUAAUUUUGCGACAUUAUAGAAAUAUAAUGAAGGUUAUCAGAAUUACAGGUGGUGCAUGGUUGUCGUCAGCUCGUGUCGUGAGAUGUUAGGUUAAGUCCUAAAACGAGCGCAACCCUUGUCGUUAGUUGCGACCACGUAAUGGUGAGCACUUUAGCGAGACUGCCAAUGAAAAAUUGGAGGAAGGUGAGGAUUACGUCAAAUCAUCAUGCCCCUUAUGAUCUGGGCUACAAACGUGAUACAAUGGCUGUUACAAAGAGUAGCUACAACGUGAGUUUUUAGCCAAUCUCAAAAAAACAGUCUCAGUUCGGAUUGAAGUCUGCAACUCGACUUCAUGAAGUUGGAAUCGCUAGUAAUCGCGAAUCAGCAUGUCGCGGUGAAUACGUUCUCGGGGUUUGUACACACCGCCCGUCAAACCACGAAAGUUGAUAAUACCCGAAAGCGGUCGCCUAACUUCGUCAGAAGAGGGAGCCGUCUAAGGUAGGAUCGAUGAUUGGGGUUAAGUCGUAACAAGGUAUCCCUACCGGAAGGUGGGGAUGGAUCACCUCCUUUCUAAGGAAACAUAGAAUCAUCAUCUUCAGUUUUGAAAGACUUAGUUAGGUUUUUCUAAUUUGAAAAACUUAGUUAAGUUUUUCUCAUUUCUUUUAUUUUUUGGUAUCCUGGGCCUAUAGCUCAGUUGGUUAGAGCACACGCCUGAUAAGCGUGAGGUCGGUGGUUCAAGUCCAUUUAGGCCCACCAAACGUUUUGCUAAAAAAAACGUGUUAUCAAAAAAAAGUUCUUUGAAAAGUAGAUAAACAAGAAAACAAUAGCCAUUUUAAAGGAAGUAAG
rnacentral:rRNA from 1 species